GACGAACGCUGGCGGCGUGCCUAAUACAUGCACGUAGGACGCAGUUGCGAACGGGUGAGUAAUGCGUAGGUAACUGCCUAUUAGAGGGGGAUAACUAUUGGAAACGAUAGCUAAUACCGCAUACUAGUAGAUGGACCUGCGUUGUAUUAGCUAGUAGGUCGGGUAAUGGCCUACCUAGGCGACGAUACAUAGCCGACCUGAGAGGGGGAGCGGCCACACUGGGACAGGGACACGGCCCAGACGCCUACGGGAGGCAGCAGUAGGGAAACUUCGGAAAUGGGGGGAACCCUGACCGAGCAACGCCGGGGGAGUGAAGAAGGUUUUCGGAUCGUAAAGCUCUGUUGUUAAGGAAGCGGUACUUAACCAGAAAGGGACGGCUAACUACGUGCCAGCCGCCGCGGUAAUUC
rnacentral:rRNA from 1 species